rnacentral:tRNA from 1 species
GUUUUAAUAAUUUAAUAUAAAAAUAUUGACCUUGUAAGUCAAAAAUGAUUGAAAAUCUUAAAACU